rnacentral:rRNA from 1 species
CCUACGGGAGGCAGCAGUGGGGAAUAUUGCACAAUGGGGGAAACCCUGCUGCAGCGACGCCGCGUGAGUGAAGAAGUAAUUCGUUAUGUAAAGCUCUAUCAGCAGGGAAGAAAAUGACGGUACCUGAGUAAGAAGCCCCGGCUAACUACGUGCCAGCAGCCGCGGUAAUACGUAGGGGGCAAGCGUUAUCCGGAUUUACUGGGUGUAAAGGGAGCGUAGACGGCAGUGCAAGUCUGGAGUGAAAGGCGGGGGCUCAACCCCCGGACUGCUCUGGAAACUGUACGGCUGGAGUGCAGGAGAGGUAAGUGGAAUUCCUAGUGUAGCGGUGAAAUGCGUAGAUAUUAGGAGGAACACCAGUGGCGAAGGCGGCUUACUGGACUGUAACUGACGUUGAGGCUCGAAAGCGUGGGUAGCAAACAGGAUUAGAUACCCGAGUAGUC